AUGCUUGGGCUGCGUCACUGGGUCGCGACGGUGCCGGAGGACGAGGACGUCGAGGCCGGGUGCCGCGGCACCGCGUUGGCCGCGGCCGGUGAAGGGGGCGAAGAAGGGCAGCUUCCCUGGCCGUGGCCGUGGCCGUGGCCCUGGGAGUUGGUGCGGUGGAAGCGGCACUUGAAGGACCCGACGUGGGUGGCCGGCGCACAGACGCACUUGGAAGCGGACCCGUGA
rnacentral:rRNA from 1 species